GUCCAGCAGCUGGCAGCAGCAUCCCCACCGAACAAGAGGCUCCAAGACAAUAUCGGGCUCCGGCUUGAGUGUCCCAAACCUUUUGUCUUGUCCUAAGAUGAGCUCAAUGAGAACAGAAUCUUUGUGUGGAACAAAAGGGUAAAAUCUCAUUUGAUCAGUACGGUGAAAGCAUGGCCUAUCGAUCCUUUAGUGUUUCCAAAUUUGAAGCUAGAGGUGUCAGAAAAGUUACCAUAGGGAUAACUGGCUUGUGGUGGCCAAGCAUUCAUAGUGACGUUUUUUGAUCUUUCAAUGUCAACUCUUCUUAUCAUUGUGAAGUAGAAUUCACCAAGUGUUAGAUUGUUCACCCAUUAAUAGGGAACAUGAGCUGCAUUUAGACUGUCGUGAGCUACUGAUGAGCUGUGCCACAAUAGUAAUUUAACUUAGUAUGAGAGGAACUGUUGAUUUGCACAAUUGGUAAUUGUGCUUGGUUGAAAAGCCGGCGUGAAGCUAUUAUACAUGGGAUUAUGACUCAAUGCCUCUAAGUCAGAAUCCAUGCUAGAUGCAAUGCUCUCUACCUCCUCAGCUGUUACCUAAUUAAGGUUAGGGG
rnacentral:ncRNA from 1 species